UUCGGAUUGUAGUCUGCAACCCGACUACAUGAAGCCGGAAUCGCUAGUAAUCGCGGAUCAGAAUGCCGCGGUGAAUACGUUCCCGGGUCUUGUACACACCGCCCGUCACACCAUGGGAGUCGGAAAUGCCCGAAGCCGGUGACCCAACCCGAAAGGGAGGGAGCCGUCGAAGGCAGGUCGGAUGACUGGGUGAAGUCGUAACAAGGUAAC
rnacentral:rRNA from 1 species